rnacentral:rRNA from 1 species
CCUACGGGAGGCAGCAGUGGGGAAUAUUGGACAAUGGGGGAAACCCUGAUCCAGCAAUGCCGCGUGAGUGAUGAAGGCCUUAGGGUCGUAAAGCUCUUUUACCAGGGAUGAUAAUGACAGUACCUGGAGAAUAAGCUCCGGCUAACUCCGUGCCAGCAGCCGCGGUAAUACGGAGGGAGCUAGCGUUGUUCGGAAUUACUGGGCGUAAAGCGUGCGUAGGCGGUUAUUCAAGUCAGAGGUGAAAGCCCGGGGCUCAACCCCGGAACGGCCUUUGAAACUAGAUAACUAGAAUCUUGGAGAGGUCAGUGGAAUUCCGAGUGUAGAGGUGAAAUUCGUAGAUAUUCGGAAGAACACCAGUGGCGAAGGCGACUGACUGGACAAGUAUUGACGCUGAGGUACGAAAGCGUGGGGAGCAAACAGGAUUAGAUACCCUGGUAGUCCACGCCGUAAACGAUGAUAACUAGCUGUCCGGACACUUGGUGUUUGGGUGGCGCAGCUACGCAUUAAGUUAUUCCGUCCGUCGGGUAGGUACGGUCGCGAAGAAGUUAAACUUAAACUAAGUAAGUAGUAGACGNGAGAAGUAGUCGACGACGACGACGAGGAGGAGGAG